UACGUAGGGUGCGAGCGUUGUCCGGAAUUACUGGGCGUAAAGAGCUCGUAGGUGGUUUGUCGCGUUGUCCGUGAAAACUCACAACUCAAUUGUGGGCGUGCGGGCGAUACGGGCAGACUGGAGUACUGCAGGGGAGACUGGAAUUCCUGGUGUAGCGGUGGAAUGCGCAGAGUAUCAGGAGGAACACCGAUGGCGAAGGCAGGUCUCUGGGCAUUAACUGACGCUGAGGAGCGAAAGCAUGGGGAGCGAACAGGA
rnacentral:rRNA from 1 species